UACGUAGGUGGCAAGCGUUGUCCGGAAUUAUUGGGCGUAAAGCGCGCGCAGGCGGUCCUUUAAGUCUGAUGUGAAAGCCCACGGCUCAACCGUGGAGGGUCAUUGGAAACUGGGGGGACUUGAGUACAGAAGAGAAGAGUGGAAUUCCACGUGUAGCGGUGGAAUGCGUAGAGAUCGGGAAGAACACCCGUGGCGAAGGCGGCCGGCUGGGCCGGAUCCGACGCUGAGGCGCGAAAGCGUGGGGAGCAAACAGG
rnacentral:rRNA from 1 species